GCAUGCAAGUCGAACGAAGCACUGUCGAAUGAGGAUUCGUCUGAAUUUGGCUUUGACUUAGUGGCGGACGGGUGAGUAAUGCGUGAGCAACCUGCCUUUCAGAGGGGGACAACAGUUGGAAACGACUGCUAAUACCGCAUGACAUAUUGAGAUCGCAUGGUGAGAUUAUCAAAGAUUUAUCACUUAGAGAUGGGCUCGCGUCUGAUUAGCUAGAUGGUGAGGUAACGGCCCACCAUGGCGACGAUCAGUAGCCGGACUGAGAGGUUGAACGGCCACAUUGGGACUGAGACACGGCCCAGACUCCUACGGGAGGCAGCAGUGGGGAAUAUUGCACAAUGGGCGAAAGCCUGACGGAGCAACGCCGCGUGAGUGAAGAAGGUCUUCGGAUCGUAAAGCUCUGUUGUCGGGGACGAAUGUUGAGACUUAGAACAUAAGUUUCAAAUGACGGUACCUGACGAGGAAGCCACGGCUAACUACGUG
rnacentral:rRNA from 1 species